rnacentral:rRNA from 1 species
GACGAACCGUGCGAACGUUAUUCGGAAUCACUGGGCUUAAAGGGUGCGUAGGCGGGUUGCCAAGUCUGUGGUGAAAUCCUCCAGCUUAACUGGAGAACUGCCGUGGAUACUGGCGAUCUCGAGGGGUGUAGGGGCUUGCGGAACUGUGCGUGGAGCGGUGAAAUGCGUUGAUAUGCACAGGAACUCCGGUGGCGAAAGCGGCGAGCUGGACACCUUCUGACGCUGAGGCACGAAGGCCAGGGGAGCAAACGGG